rnacentral:lncRNA from 13 species
CCCCACGAGGCUGCUCCAUUCUUUUUGACAUCCUGACAACAUUCACCAGACAUUCUACUACUACUGUAUUGGUCUGUGACAUCACAGAGGUCUUCCCUCAGACAUUCUAUUCUCUUUAUGACAUCACCGAGUUCCUCUCCAGACAUUCUAGUCUACUUAUGACAUCACAGGUCUUCCCCAGAUAUUCUACUCUCAUGACAUCACAGAGAUUCUAUUUAUGACAUUGCAGGUCUCCAAGAUAUUCUAGUGUCUUCAUGACAUCAGAGGUCUUUCCCAGAGAGUCUACUCUUUUUAAAUCACAUAAAGUAUUCUCCAGAUAUUUAAUCUUUAUGACAUCACAGAGGUGAGGUCUUCAAGAGAUAGUCUACUUGUGACAUCACAGGUUUCUCCCAGACAUUCUAGUCUCUUUAUGACUUCACCCCAGACAUUCCAGAUAAUUUACUUGACAACAUCAGAUUAGAAUAACUCUAUUCAACUCCACCAAUAUAAAAUUCUAAUAACCAAAUCAAAUACUCACUCCCACAUCUUAGCCCUACUUCAGGAAUCUCUCAGUCUCCAUGACGUGGCCAUGGAAACGGUGUUAAGCUGAGAACAGGUCUCAGAGCAGUGGUAAUCCUGCGAGGACGUGACCUGAUACCUUGCAGCUCCUGUAUGCCCUACUAAUAUCACACUAACACCAUACAGAACCUAAUACAGUGCUAUUAAAACUAUAACACCAUGAUAAACCUAGCUAGGUGUUACACCUGUCAUUUACCCAUCAGACUAUAACACCAUGAUAAACCUAGCUAGGUGUUACACCUGUCACAGUCUAUAACACCAUGAUAAACCUAGCUAGGUGUUACACCUGUCACAGUCUAUAACACCAUGAUAAACCUAGCUAGGUGUUACACCUGUCACAGUCUAUAACACCAUGAUAAACCUAGCUAGGUGUUACACCUGUCAUCUAACCAUCAGACUAUAACACCAUGAUAAACCUAGCUAGGUGUUACACCUGUCACAGUCUAUAACACCAUGAUAAACCUAGCUAGGUGUUACACCUGUCAUCUAACCAUCAGACUAUAACACCAUGAUAAACCUAGCUAGGUGUUACACCUGUCAUCUAACCAUCAGACUAUAACACCAUGAUAAACCUAGCUAGGUGUUACACCUGUCAUCUAACCAUCAGACUAUAACACCAUGAUAAUAGACAGGAGUUUUAACCUCUAAGCCAUAAGAACGAUAGUUUACUACAGUCCUAGGUAGUACUGAUCACUCGGGGCUGUUCUUGCUCAGACAAGGCUUAAAACUACUUCAGGUUGUACCUGGAGCUACACAGCACUAUACAGACUGACUGGGCUCAGACAGACAGACAAACAAACAGCACUAUACAGACUGACUGGGCUCAGACAGACAGACAGACAGCACUAUACAGACUGACUGGGCUCAGACAGACAGCACUUCUGACCCGAGUACAGUGGAACGUCCUACAUUAGACUAAUAGUCCUAUCUAGCCUGCACCUGUUGUACCAUUUAACACAGAG